UAUCUCUCCGUACGGGGAAGGAUGAGAAGCUUCGACUAAGGUUCGAUUCGAGCGCAGCGAGAAAGCGUUGCCGCAGGCAACGACCCGAAGGGCGA
rnacentral:sRNA from 1 species